GGAGAGAUGGCUGAGCUGGUCUAAGGCGCACGACUGGAAAUCGUGUGUACGUGAUGAGCGUACCGAGGGUUCGAAUCCCUCUCUCUCCGCCA
rnacentral:tRNA from 3 species